AUGUGCUUAAUGCUUCUACCUAUAAUUAAUGUUCUCCAUUUCUUCAACUUAAAUGCUUUACAUAUUCUAGUAGUGUGUCUGACAUAUGCGGGGAUAUCUCGUGUUACAGGACAUUACUGGUAAACUGGUCGUAAAGGUGUUGUGGAGGAAGUGGGUCUUCGCUUCCCACGCAGAGGAGGGUUUUCCGGUUAAAGUUUCCUUUGUGAUUCGGAAGUGUCGGUGUGAUGCCGUUUAUCCUCACAGACACAACACACAAGUGGCGACCAUGAAAAAACCGUUCAAAGCUUUGUCCUGCUGAAACGCCCCUUCAGGAUUUAGUAAUACAGGUCUCGCCGUCACCCUGGCAACGCUGCACCCACAGAGAGGGGAGGAGCCAAGUCCUGGUAGCAUGGAAGUCGCCUGGGCGCCGGGCUUGGCCCUGAGUCCUCAGAGCGAGGCGGUGACCAGCGAGCUUCAGGAGCUGACGUUGCAGCCUGGACUCCCCCCGUGGCCUCUGCAGGAGAGGA